CUCCCAUCAGGCCUGUCAGCCAGUGAUGCAUGGCGUGGGAGCAGAGGGAGCGUGACUGCACCAUAAAGCUCGCUGUUUGUGUUUAAUCUCAUCGCACGUCCAUUAGUCUCCGCCGGUCCACUGGGAGGUGUCAUGGAUUCUGGCCUGCGUGGGUACCCAGAGAUGAGACACUGUGGGUGGGCAUGAUGGAUGGCAGGAGUCCCUACCCACCCAUGGUUCUCUAUCGUCUCCCAUAUCAAGUCUUCAUUUACCUUCCUCUUCAUAAAUUUAAAUACAUCUGCCGUCUCCAUGGUAUGACGGUAGGUCAGUAAUUAUGUUCCGGAAUGUGAGACUUCUGUGGCAGCCAUUGC
rnacentral:lncRNA from 1 species